rnacentral:rRNA from 1 species
CCUACGGGUGGCAGCAGUGGGGGAUAUUGCACAAUGGGGGGAACCCUGAUGCAGCGACGCCGCGUGGGUGAAGAAGGGCCUCGGCGCGUAAAGCCCUGUCAGCAGGGAAGAAAAGGACGGUACCUGAAGAAGAAGCCACGGCUAACUACGGGCCAGCAGCGGCGGCAAGACGUAGGGGGCAAGCGGUAUCCGGAUUGACUGGGUGUAAAGGGGGCGCAGAGGGGGCUGCAAGCCAGGAGUGAAGGCCCGGGGCGCAACCCCGGGACUGCUCUUGGAACUGCGUGGCUGGAGUGCAGGAGGGGCAGGCGGAAUUCCUGGUGUAGCGGUGAAAUGCGUAGAUAUCAGGAGGAACACCGGUGGCGAAGGCGGCCUGCUGGACUGCAACUGACGUUGAGGCCCGAAAGCGUGGGGAGCAAACAGGAUUAGAUACCCUUGUAGUC